rnacentral:rRNA from 1 species
UACGUAGGGUGCGAGCGUUGUCCGGAAUUAUUGGGCGUAAAGAGCUCGUAGGCGGUCUGUCGCGUCGAUCGUGAAAACUUGGGGCUUAACCCUGAGCUUGCAGUCGAUACGGGCAGGCUUGAGUUCGGUAGGGGAGACUGGAAUUCCUGGUGUAGCGGUGAAAUGCGCAGAUAUCAGGAGGAACACCGGUGGCGAAGGCGGGUCUCUGGGCCGAUACUGACGCUGAGGAGCGAAAGCGUGGGGAGCGAACAGG